UUCGGUUGUUUGCAUGGCACUUUAGCCGUGCCGGUGGCUGUUACGCAGUGUGACUUUGGGGAUGUCUCGUAAAAGGUGCAUGAGUGGUGUUUGGUUUGAUACGGGUGGUUGGCUCCCUGCUUGAGCAGGCACGGCCACGCGUACAUUCCUUUUCAGUUGUGCGGCAAGGCUUGUAUCGUCUUGAUUGCAUAGUCGGGUUUCCUGUGUUGCCUACCUGAUCAACGGCAUCGUAUUGAUCAAAAGCGGUACCCUUUUCGUCAGGCGUUGCAACUGCAAUGUCGGAUGAACCAUGUAGCAUCCUCUUUGAUCCCUAUAGUCGAUGAGCAUUCGUUGAUUGUUGGGCCCGUUGGGGGUGACUUGGUCUCUUGGAUUUGGAAGCUACAGUGGGCAUGGGUUCGUAUGAUCCUUUUACUGCCCUCGUUGAGCGUUCUCGCUUCUCUUAAACGACUGUCUUUCACGUAUGGCAUGUCCCAACGUGUUUGGCUAUGUCGAAGAGGAA
rnacentral:misc_RNA from 1 species